rnacentral:rRNA from 1 species
AACGAACGCUGGCGGCAGGCUUAACACAUGCAAGUCGAGCGCCCCGCAAGGGGAGCGGCAGACGGGUGAGUAACGCGUGGGAAUCUACCCAUCUCUACGGAAUAACGCAUGGAAACGCGUGCUAAUACCGUAUACGUCCUUCGGGAGAAAGAUUUAUCGGAGAUGGAUGAGCCCGCGGUGGAUUAGCUAGUUGGUGGGGUAAAGGCCUACCAAGGCGACGAUCCAUAGCUGGUCUGAGAGGAUGAUCAGCCACACUGGGACUGAGACACGGCCCAGACUCCUACGGGAGGCAGCAGUGGGGAAUAUUGGACAAUGGGCGCAAGCCUGAUCCAGCCAUGCCGCGUGAGUGAUGAAGGCCUUAGGGUUGUAAAGCUCUUUCACCGGUGAAGAUAAUGACGGUAACCGGAGGAGAAGCCCCGGCUAACUUCGUGCCAGCCGCCGCCGUAAUAC